rnacentral:rRNA from 1 species
GAUGAACGCUAGCUACAGGCUUAACACAUGCAAGUCGAGGGGCAGCAUGGUCUUAGCUUGCUAAGGCCGAUGGCGACCGGCGCACGGGUGAGUAACACGUAUCCAACCUGCCGUCUACUCUUGGACAGCCUUCUGAAAGGAAGAUUAAUACAAGAUGGCAUCAUGAGUCCGCAUGUUCACAUGAUUAAAGGUAUUCCGGUAGACGAUGGGGAUGCGUUCCAUUAGAUAGUAGGCGGGGUAACGGCCCACCUAGUCUUCGAUGGAUAGGGGUUCUGAGAGGAAGGUCCCCCACAUUGGAACUGAGACACGGUCCAAACUCCUACGGGAGGCAGCAGUGAGGAAUAUUGGUCAAUGGGCGAGAGCCUGAACCAGCCAAGUAGCGUGAAGGAUGAAGGUCCUACGGAUUGUAAACUUCUUUAUACGGGAAUAAAGUAUCCUACGUGUAGGAUUUUGUAUGUACCGUAUGAAUAAGCAUCGGCU